GAUGAAGAACGCAGUGAAAUGCGAUAAGUAGUGUGAAUUGCAGAAUUCAGUGAAUCAUCGAAUCUUUGAACGCACAUUGCGCCCCUUGGUAUUCCAUGGGGCAUGCCUGUUCGAGCGUCAUCUACACCCUCAAGCUCUGCUUGGUGUUGGGCGUCUGUCCCGCCUCUGCGCGCGGACUCGCCCCAAAUUCAUUGGCAGCGGUCCUUGCCUCCUCUCGCGCAGCACAUUGCGCUUCUCGAGGUGCGCGGCCCGCGUCCACGAAGCAACAUUACCGUCUUUGACCUCGGAUCAGGUAGGGAUACCCGCUGAACUUAAGCAUAUCAAUAAGCGGAGGA
rnacentral:misc_RNA from 1 species